AAUAUUGGACAAUGGGCGAAAGCCUGAUCCAGCCAUGCCGCGAGCUUGAAGAAGGUCAUCGGUUCGUAAAGCACUUUAUGUUGGGAGGAAGGGCAGGAAGGUAAUACCUUGCUGUUGUGACGUUACCGACAGUAUGAGCUGCCGCUCACGUCCGGCCAGCAGCCGCGGUAAUACGAAGGGUGCAAUGGUUAAUCGGAAUUACUGGGCGUAAAGCGCGCGUAGGUGGUUUGUUAAGUUGGAAGUGAAAGCCCCGGGGUCAACCUGGGAACUGCUUUCAAAACCGGCAAGCUAGAGUAUGGCAGAGGGUGGUGGAAUUCCCUGUGUAGCGGUGAAAUGCGUAGAUAUAGGAAGGAACACCAGUGGCGAAGGCGACUACCUGGACUGAUACUGACACUGAGGUGCGAAAGCGUGGGGAGCAAAC
rnacentral:rRNA from 1 species